rnacentral:rRNA from 1 species
UCCUACGGGCGGCUGCAGUGGGGAAUAUUGGACAAUGGGCGAAAGCCUGAUCCAGCAAUGCCGCGUGAGUGAUGAAGGCCUUAGGGUUGUAAAGCUCUUUUACCAGGGAUGAUAAUGACAGUACCUGGAGAAUAAGCUCCGGCUAACUCCGUGCCAGCAGCCGCGGUAAUACGGAGGGAGCUAGCGUUGUUCGGAAUUACUGGGCGUAAAGCGCACGUAGGCGGCGAUUCAAGUCAGAGGUGAAAGCCCGGGGCUCAACCCCGGAACUGCCUUUGAAACUAGAUUGCUAGAAUCCUGGAGAGGCGAGUGGAAUUCCGAGUGUAGAGGUGAAAUUCGUAGAUAUUCGGAAGAACACCAGUGGCGAAGGCGACUCGCUGGACAGGUAUUGACGCUGAGGUGCGAAAGCGUGGGGAGCAAACAGGAUUAGAUACCCCGGUAGUC